GACGAACGCUGGCGGCGUGCUUAACACAUGCAAGUCGAACGGAAAGGCCCUGCUUGUGUGGGGUGCUCGAGGGGCGAACGGGUGAGUAACACGUGAGUAACCUGCCCUGUACUUUGGGAUAACUUCAGAAAACUGGGGCUACUACCUGAUAGGAGCUGCUGCAGCAUGGGGGGGGUUGGAAAGUUUCGGAGGAUGUGGAUGGACGCGCGGCUUAUCAGCUUGUUGGGUGGGUAGUGGCUUAGCAAGGCUUCGACGGGUGGUCGGCCCGAGAGGGGAACCGGCGACCAUAGGACUGAGAUACGGCGCAGACUCCUACAGGAGGCAGCAGUGGGGAAUAUUGCCCAGUGGGCGGAAGCCUGAUGCAGAAGCGCCCCGUGCGGGAUGACGGCCUUCGGGUUGGAAACCGCUUUAGGCUGUGACGAAGCGUGAGUGACGGUAAUGGGUAAAGAAGCACCGGCUAACUACGUG
rnacentral:rRNA from 1 species